UCACAUCACUGUAUGAACGACUGAAGUCGGCAAACUAGCGUAGUCACCCGGUUAGCUAGUUAAUAACACACUUGGACCAAAACGGAGCCACCUACCACGUGACGGCCGCACUAUCCGAGGGAAUUUCGACAACGAUUCCUCACACGUUUCGGUCAAAUAUAUGUAAAGAUGUGACUACAGCACGAAAUGAACAGGCUUCUCAAGCGUUGCCGAUGACGUUGCCAUGGAGAAACACACGGAAGAUGGCGGCUUGUUCGUCUCCCUCCCUGUGAAAUACAGAUGCAGCGAGGCGGGAGACAUUAUCAAGAGGAGCCGUUCAUCGAAGGGCCACAAGGGGGAGCCUCGACGCAAACUGACGAAGUCGUUUAUUAUUGCCCUCAUUAUGUAAUUUUCAUUUGUUGUAUCAACUAUUCAGUUUGCAGUUUUACAAUCAAAUCUAAUGGCUAAUAAUGUGAAAUUGAAUAAUACAAAUAUGUUUAAAAUUACAAUUUUUGCUUAGGUUGUCCGAUUAGCAACAUUUGCAUAGAUUAUGCACUUCUUAUAUUUGCACAUUACAAAUAUAUCUACAAAAUGUAAUAAAACCGUUUUGCAAUUAAACAAA